rnacentral:rRNA from 1 species
AGAGUUUGAUCCUGGCUCAGGAUGAACGCUGGCGGCGUGCUUAACACAUGCAAGUCGAACGAAGCACCUUGAUUUGAUUCUUCGGAUGAAGAUCUUGGUGACUGAGUGGCGGACGGGUGAGUAACGCGUGGGUAACCUGCCUCAUACAGGGGGAUAACAGUUAGAAAUGACUGCUAAUACCGCAUAAGACCACAGCACCGCAUGGUGCAGGGGUAAAAACUCCGGUGGUAUGAGAUGGACCCGCGUCUGAUUAGGUAGUUGGUGGGGUAACGGCCUACCAAGCCGACGAUCAGUAGCCGACCUGAGAGGGUGACCGGCCACGUUGGGACUGAGAUACGGCCCAGACUCCUACGGGAGGCAGCAGUGGGGAAUAUUGGGCAAUGGGCGAAAGCCUGACCCAGCAACGCCGCGUGAAGGAAGAAGGCCUUCGGGUUGUAAACUUCUUUUACCAGGGACGAAGGACGUGACGGUACCUGGAGAAAAAGCAACGGCUAACUACGUGCCAGCAGCCGCGGUAAUACGUAGGUUGCAAGCGUUGUCCGGAUUUACUGGGUGUAAAGGGCGUGUAGGCGGAGAUGCAAGUUAGGAGUGAAAUCUAUGGGCUCAACCCAUAAACUGCUUCUAAAACUGUAUCCCUUGAGUAUCGGAGAGGCAAGCGGAAUUCCUAGUGUAGCGGUGAAAUGCGUAGAUAUUAGGAGGAACACCAGUGGCGAAGGCGGCUUGCUGGACGACAACUGACGCUGAGGCGCGAAAGCGUGGGGGGCAAACAGGAUUAGAUACCCUGGUAGUCCACGCUGUAAACGAUGAGUACUAGGUGUGGGGGGACUGACCCCCUCCGUGCCGCAGUUAACACAAUAAGUAUUCCACCUGGGGAGUACGACCGCAAGGUUGAAACUCAAAGGAAUUGACGGGGGCCCGCACAAGCAGUGGAUUAUGUGGUUUAAUUCGACGCAACGCGAAGAACCUUACCAGGACUUGACAUCCAACUAACGAAGUAGAGAUACAUCAGGUGCCCUUCGGGGAAAGUUGAGACAGGUGGUGCAUGGUUGUCGUCAGCUCGUGUCGUGAGAUGUUGGGUUAAGUCCCGCAACGAGCGCAACCCCUAUUGUUAGUUGCUACGAAAGAGCACUCUAGCGAGACUGCCGUUGACAAAACGGAGGAAGGCGGGGACGACGUCAAAUCAUCAUGCCCCUUAUGUCCUGGGCUACACACGUAAUACAAUGGUGGCCAACAGAGGGAAGCGAAGCCGUGAGGCAGAGCAAAUCCCUAAAAGCCAUCUCAGUUCGGAUUGCAGGCUGCAACUCGCCUGCAUGAAGCUGGAAUUGCUAGUAAUCGCGGAUCAGCAUGCCGCGGUGAAUACGUUCCCGGGCCUUGUACACACCGCCCGUCACACCAUGAGAGUCGGGAACACCCGAAGUCCGUAGUCUAACCGCAAGGGGGGCGCGGCCGAAGGUGGGUCCGGUAAUUGGGGUGAAGUCGUAACAAGGUA